GAAGAGCUUCUUUGUUUUUUUUCAACUUUUAUUUCAAAUUAUAUUUUGGGUUUCCGCGGACGCGAUUGCAGGCCACUGACAUCCACGCGGAUACUGUUUGAUUUAAAGAGUUUUUUGUGUUUGAUCAUUUAAAAUUUUCACUUUUUUUUGUUGAUAAAUUCUCCUCAAACGUUUUUCUUCAACGAAGAGGUUCAAUAUAUCACUGUCUGCAUUAUUAUUUGUUAAAUCAAAGUGCACCGUGACCUGGCUCCCUGGGUGGCCCACUUGUGACUGGGGAAGUGGUUUGGCACGCCUUCUCUGUUGUAGGAGGCAGGUUUACAUCGUCACUCUGUCCCGUGUCUCGGAUUCAAACGCUUGGCCCGCACUGAGGCUGAAGCGCAACUCAACAGUUCCCACAGAACAAUGGGAACCGGAUCAGGAAUGAAUAUGCAGCACUGUUCUGGAGGAUUUACGGCAAAAGGAGAGCUUCCAAUUUAAUUAUUCAAAGUCAACUUCAACCAAAGUCCCGUUGAUUUAUCAUUCAACUUUUGGCAAAUCCUGGGGAUUUCUGAGUGGCAAGGUUUUCCAAGGGAAGCGUACAGUCGGUGGAUCGGUGGACUGACUUUUUCCAAGCAGGAAUAUGGCCACUGUACGGCUCGAUUACGUUGCUCCGUGGUGGACAUACUGGCUGCACAAUUUUCCACACUUCAAUUUCGUAUUUGAGUCGGUUGACAACACUUUCAAACCGGAGGACACGAGCUAUCAGCAGUCUCUGGUAUUACUAGCAGGUGUCGGAGCAGUUGGUUUGGGUCUCAGCCUGCUGCUUCUGGCCGCAUACCUGACCCUCCUGUGUUGCUGGCGUAGGGACAUAGACGAAGACACCAAAAGGCCAAACAACUGCUGUGUCACUUGGGCUGCUGUCAUCACAGGCCUCAUCAUAUGUUCUGCUGUGGGAGUGGGUUUCUAUGGAAACAGUGAGACCAACGACGGGGUGUACCAGCUGACCUACUCGCUCUACAAUGCCAAUCACACAUUGGGUGGCAUCAACAAUCUGGUUGCUGGGUCCGUGGGUAAUGUAGAAACUGGACUCAAACUACACCUGGAACGUCUGGAUGAAAUCUUUGCCACGAGGUCUGACUACCUUCAGUCUCUGCGCUUCAUGCGGCUUAUGAUCAAUAACAUCAUCCGCGAGCUGGCUGCCCUGCCGGAUAUCAACAAAGCCAAUGUUGACUUGGCAGCCAUUGCUGACCAAACUGCCUUCAUUGAGUAUUACAGAUGGCUCGCCUUCCUGCUGCUGCUGAUCACGGAUCUGGUCAUCUGCCUGGCCAUUUGCUUGGGGAUGGCCAAGCAGUCUCGAUGGCUGCUGAUCAUGAUUAUGGUUUUUGUAGCGCUCUCUCUGAUCCUGAGCUGGGCAUCGUUUGGAGUGGGCGCUGCUACAGCUGUGGGCACCAGUGACUUCUGCGUGUCUCCGGACAAAUUCAUUGUGAACCAAACCAACGACUUCAUCAGCGCAGAUGUUGCACAUUAUUAUCUGUUCUGCAGUCCGAAUCUUCCAAACCCCUUCCAACAGUCUAUAACAACCUGCCAGCGCUCUCUGACCACCAUGCAAAUCCAGAUCCAGGGCUUGCUGCAGUUCUCCUUGCCUUUCUUUCCCACGGCCCAGAGAGACCUUUUGGGGAUCCAGCGGGUAUUGAACACCACAGAAUUCAGUGUGCACCAGCUAACAGCCCUGCUCGACUGCCGAGGGCUGCAUAAGGACUACCUGGAUGCUCUCAUGGGUGUGUGCUACGAUGGAGUAGAAGGGCUCCUCUACCUGUCUUUGUUUUCCUUGCUGGCUGGCUGCGCACUUUCUGCCAUGCUGUGUGCGAUUUUCAAAGUGUGGACACUAAUGGCCAGCAGGGACAAAGAGUAUGACGACAUAGACGAGGAGGACCCUUUCAACCCGCAGGCUCGCCGGAUGUCCUACAACCCCAGAAGGUCCAACAUCCACAGUUUCUGUAGCUACGCCAGCAGCAUCGGGAGUCAGGCCACUCUCCAUCCACCUCCGCAAACUGCUGCUAAUGUCAUGCCGGCUCCUGAGUACAUGAAUCAGAACAUGCUGUUCGGGGGGAGUCCUCGAUAUGAGAACGUGCCGCUGAUAGGGAGAGGAUCGCCACCGCCCUCGAGUUUUAAAAACCGUAAGUUUUUCUGUUUGUUUGAUUUCAUUGACAUUCCACUCCUUGAAACGCACUGUGGGCUUUUCCUUCUGUUGCUACAAACCGCUUGCUGUGCAGAAUGUGUUAACUUGUAACCUAAAGACCCCAGUAGAGCUCAACACAGUAUCCUAGCUGCUUGAGCUUUGACCUUCUGGCACCUUCUGUUUUAUCCACAGAGUGUGACAUUACUCGCCCAGUAUGAGGACCACCUAUCUAUCUAUGACUGAUGCCCAAAUCAGACACUUUGGGACGGACUUCCAGGUGUAGCGUUCUACCCCACUAAAUCCUUCUGAGACUGUCUGAGACUCUGGGUCUUUACCGAAGAAGGCUUUCUCCAUAGCAUAAUCCUGUUUACGGGAGCUGCAGCCCGCCGUCCCAAUCUGAGACAUGAAAGCAGGCCACAUGAGGCAAUUACCUCAGUAACACACCGAUGCAGUGCUCUGGAGGCCCUGCAUGCAGUUUUGAACAUAGAGGGGCCUGUACAGACUCACCGGAGGACUGUUGUUGUUGUUCUUGUCGUCAUGUAUGGAAACGCUCUUUUUCCGAUGUAAGCAUCUCUUACCGUCAGAUCUCUCUUGAUUCAAAUCGAGAGCCGUUGAACUCAAUGAAUUUAAAACGUCUUCCUGCUUUAGUUUGAUAUGAUCAUUGGUUUGGUCAUUAUUGAUAGGAGUGGAGACUUUUCACCUCGGCAUUUUGAUUCUCUGCUAGUGAUAUGAUUACAUGAUAUUUAAGCCUUUCUUUAAUUUUUAAUGGUUCUAUACGAAAUGAAGGACAAUGUUUUCAACUUUUCUUAAUAUUAAUAUAAAAAAAUGUCAGUGAAGAGAACCACAUAUUAAAGUUUUUUUAGUGAACGGCAAAGGAUGUUUCCAAGUUCAUAUUUUUGAUUAAUUAUCACCCCCCCCCCCCCCACACACAAAGUCUAUGACUGCAACAGGCACAAGCAUUUCUUGUUGUUCUGUUUUGAAUUAAAUUGUCAUAGCUGGAGGGUUCAAUACGUUCUUUUUUUUUUGCUAAGUUUGGAGACUGUAUAGCAGUUUCAUGUUGGAAAAUUCCCCCGGGCCUAAAUAAGCACAAGCAAAUAGGAUUCAGUUCACCUCCCAUUUAUUACUGUGCAGUGACACGGAAGGUAAAACAUUGAGUGAACGACGUGAAAUAAUUGAAAUGUUUUUUUCUUUGUUUGUUUUAGGGCCAACUGUCUGCUGUAUUCUGUGUACAACAAUGUAUGAAACUAAUGUUUGACCAUAAAGGCUUCAUUCACU